rnacentral:rRNA from 1 species
AGAGUUUGAUCAUGGCUCAGGAUGAACGCUAGCGGCAGGCUUAAUACAUGCAAGUCGUGGGGCAGCAGGUCUGUAGCAAUACAGAUGCUGGCGACCGGCAAACGGGUGCGGAACACGUACGCAACCUUCCUUCAAGUGGGGAAUAGCCCGGGGAAACCCGGAUUAAUACCCCGUAAUACUAUGAGAUGGUAUCAUCUUAUACUUAUAGCUCCGGCGCUUGAAGAUGGGCGUGCGCCUGAUUAGGUAGUUGGCGGGGUAACGGCCCACCAAGCCUACGAUCAGUAACUGGUGUGAGAGCACGACCAGUCACACGGGCACUGAGACACGGGCCCGACUCCUACGGGAGGCAGCAGUAAGGAAUAUUGGUCAAUGGACGCAAGUCUGAACCAGCCAUGCCGCGUGGAGGAUGAAGGUCCUCUGGAUUGUAAACUUCUUUUAUCUGGGAAGAAACCCAUGAUUUCUAUUGUGGUUGACGGUACCAGAUGAAUAAGCACCGGCUAACUCCGUGCCAGCAGCCGCGGUAAUAC